CCAGAUGGCGCCAGAUCACCACCAAUCACCAGGAGUCAAUCAAUUCAAUUUUUAUCAAUAAAACACACUGUGGAGACGGCCCUCUCUGAACAUCACACUCAACUGCGUCAGGACCAUGAAAGCAGGAUCAUGGCUCAAUCAGCAGGCCUCAGCUCUGACCACCUCCUGUCAUGUCACCUUUGCUGGACUACCUGGACAACACAUCACCUGGAACCCUCCACUUCUUCUUUGGCAGUCGGCCCUUCCACCUCCAACUGACUGGAACAGACUGG